rnacentral:misc_RNA from 1 species
CGGUUCGAGUCCGCUUACCUCCACUGAACACUACCCUGAUAACUAAUGUCAGGAGAAAAUUAGAAAAUUUGACCUAGAUAUUGUCUAUAUGAAGAGAACCUAGCUUCUUAUCAUCUUUUUAUAGUUGAUAAUAUGCUGGGCUCUCAUGGAAGAAAAUUUCAUGUGAUUUCAGUA